GACGAACGCUGGCGGCGUGCUUAACACAUGCAAGUCGAACGGAAAGGCCCUGCUUGCAGGGUACUCGAGUGGCGAACGGGUGAGUAACACGUGGGUGAUCUGCCCUGCACUUCGGGAUAAGCCUGGGAAACUGGGUCUAAUACCGGAUAGGAGCCAUUUUUAGUGUGAUGGUUGGAAAGUUUUUUCGGUGUAGGAUGAGCUCGCGGCCUAUCAGCUUGUUGGUGGGGUAAUGGACUACCAAGGCGGCGACGGGUAGCCGGCCUGAGAGGGUGGACGGCCACACUGGGACUGAGAGACGGCCCAGACUCCUACGGGAGGCAGCAGGGGGGAAUAUUGCACAAUGGGCGCAAGCCUGAUGCAGCGACGCCGCGUGGGGGAUGACGGCCUUCGGGUUGUAAACUCCUUUCGCUAGGGACGAAGCUUUUUGUGACGGUACCUAGAUAAGAAGCACCGGCUAACUACGUG
rnacentral:rRNA from 1 species